rnacentral:rRNA from 1 species
UGGGGAAUUUUGGACAAUGGGCGAAAGCCUGAUCCAGCAAUGCCGCGUGUGUGAAGAAGGCCUUCGGGUUGUAAAGCACUUUUGUCCGGAAAGAAAUCCUUGGCUCUAAUACAGUCGGGGGAUGACGGUACCGGAAGAAUAAGCACCGGCUAACUACGUGCCAGCAGCCGCGGUAAUACGUAGGGUGCAAGCGUUAAUCGGAAUUACUGGGCGUAAAGCGUGCGCAGGCGGUUUGCUAAGACCGAUGUGAAAUCCCCGGGCUCAACCUGGGAACUGCAUUGGUGACUGGCAGGCUAGAGUAUGGCAGAGGGGGGUAGAAUUCCACGUGUAGCAGUGAAAUGCGUAGAGAUGUGGAGGAAUACCGAUGGCGAAGGCAGCCCCCUGGGCCAAUACUGACGCUCAUGCACGAAAGCGUGGGGAGCAAACAGGAUUAGAUACCCUGGUAGUCCACGCCCUAAACGAUGUCAACUAGUUGUUAGGGGAUUCAUUUUCCCUUAGUAACGUAGCUAACGCGUGAAGUUGACCGCCUGGGGAGUACGGUCGCAAGAUUAAAACUCAAAGGAAUUGACGGGGUCAUAGCUGUUUCCU